rnacentral:rRNA from 1 species
GGAUCCUUAUUAGAUUUA